rnacentral:lncRNA from 1 species
AAUCUGGUAAAUGCACACAACCAGAUCUGAAUUAAUAAAAGACAAAUUAUUAUGGAAGAACUAUGUGGUUAAAAGUAAUUAAUAUUGUGAAAUGAUUUGUAUUGUAUAGAAACUAUAUAAAUUAGGGAUGGGGGAUAAUGUUGGGCAAUGAUAACUUCCUUUUUGAGGUGCUAGAGAUUACAGUGUUAAAAAAUAUGUUGUUUUUUUAAUCUUACUAACUAUCUUACACACAUUAUCAUAAAUUGCUGGAUGUUUAGAAAAUUUUAUUAUAUAUUUUUAUAAGGUUUAUAAAAGAAUGGCUGUAAUAAUGCUAUGAUAUGAUUGUUAAUGAAAUUUAAGAGUAUUAAAGGGUGCAAUCCAAUUUUAAAUCAAAAAGGAGGGGGGUGGGGUGAAAAAUUAAAUAUGAACUUAUUUUUUUUAAACUUAAUAAUAUAUUUUUGGAUUUAUAUAAAAGAUGACAUUCCAUUUUUCAAAACAACUGUUGGGGAAUUUUGCAAAGCAGCAUUUUUUAGUGUUUGUCACACAAUGGAAAAAUUCCAAAAUUUAUUCCUCGUUAUUCAUUCUUAUUCAUGAAAUGUAUGCAAAAAAAAUUCUAAGUCCAAACAUUCAAGUUAAUUCAUGAUUAUUCAUGUGAAAAAAAGAAAAUUUUUUACAAUGUUAAUUCCACGAUUUAAAAUACUUUACAUGUUUUGUAUGAAGAUGUUAUGGAUGUCACCUACAUGAUCUCACUCUAAUAAAAUGAUCAUCAUAUUUUUUUUUCAUUUAACUGUGGAAUAUGUUAUUCAGCAUCAACAAUCAAGUACAAAUAUACAUACAAAAGUCCUAGAACAAAUUUUAUUUAUCAUUUUUUUUGCUGUUUGCUUCAAAUAAUUCUGAGUCAUUAUCAUGCAGCUUUAUUCAUGCUUAUUCAUGUUUGUCACACAAUGGGAAAAUAUUCUAAGUCCAAAAUUUAUUCCUCAUUAUUCAUUCUUAUUCAUGAAAUGUAUGCAAAAAAAU